GACAGUUUGGCCGAGUGGUUAAGGCGCGGGACUGCUAUGUAUCUCAUCUGCUAUCCCGUUCAUUCGUGAGCGCAGGUUCGAAUCCUGCAGCUGUCG